UAGGAAUACUUAAGGGGCUCCUCAUGCAAUUUGAAACGCCUAUGGGGCUAUGGGGAAUUAAAAUGGGAUUCGGGUCGGAUGUGUAAGGGUUCUACGCCACAGAAUUUCGCAGCUCCCUCUGCAUCUCUACCGCCGGCCGCCGAAUUUGAAGUUUGCCUGCCAUGGGUAACAAAGCUGCAAAGCCAGCACCUGCAGGGCCAUAUGACGAUGUGUUGUUUUUGAAGAGUGUGCCUCCUAUAGAUCAGGAUUUUGCCCGUUGGCUAGCUCGGGAUGUUGAGAGGAUCCAUCGCUUCGUUCCAAGAAAGCCUCGCGCUAUCAAGCCCCCAGAUCAUUACAUUGAGUACAUGCGCAUGAAUGGAUGGCUAGAUGUAGACCUGGAUGACCCAGACUUGGCUCAUUUGUUCAAGUAGAUGAUCACCAAAUAAGGAACACAACUCUAGUUAUUUUUUAAAAAUUUAUGUUCAAAUAUUGUAAAAUAAUUAAUGUGUGCUAAGUGCUAACUGCUAUAUUGGAUAAACAAAAAUUAAUGCUAAAUAAGCUUUGAUUUUAUAUAACUUGCCAUUGACAUA